GAUGAACGCUAGCGGAAGGCUUAAUACAUGCAAGUCGAGCGGUAUAGUGACUUCGGUUGCUAGAGAGCGGCGCACGGGUGAGUAACGCGUACAUGACCUACCUCUAAGAUCGGGAUAGCCCUGGGAAACUGGGAUUAAUACCGGAUGUGAUAAUAAGUAUAAGGAUUUAUUAUUAAAGUUGAGGCGCUUAGAGAUGGGUGUGCGUCUGAUUAGCUAGUUGGUAGGGUAAGGGCCUACCAAGGCGACGAUCAGUAGGGGGCGUGAGAGCGUGAUCCCCCACACGGGUACUGAGACACGGACCCGACUCCUACGGGAGGCAGCAGUAGGGAAUUUUGCGCAAUGGACGAAAGUCUGACGCAGCGACGCCGCGUGAAGGAUGAAGGUUUUCGGAUUGUAAACCCCUUUCGGGAGGGAAGAUGGAGCGAGCAAUCGUUCGGACGGUACCUCCAGAAGCAGCCACGGCCAACUUCGUG
rnacentral:rRNA from 1 species